UACGGGGGGGGGCAAGCGUUGUUCGGAAUUACUGGGCGUAAAGGGCUCGUAGGCGGCCAACUAAGUCCGACGUGAAAUCCCCAGGCUUAACCUGGGAACUGCGUCGGAUACUGGAUGGCUUGAAUUCGGGAGAGGGAUGCAGAAUUCCAGGUGUAGCGGUGAAAUGCGUAGAGAUGUGGAGGAACACCGAUGGCGAAGGCAGCCCCCUGGGUCAAGAUUGACGCUCAUGCACGAAAGCGUGGGGAGCAAACAGG
rnacentral:rRNA from 1 species